rnacentral:lncRNA from 1 species
AGCGAGUUUCUUUCUUUAUUUCUUUCUUUUUUAAUUUCAAAAUGUCAAUUAGUAAAUUUAAUAGAAGAAUUCUUACUGUAAUAAUUAGACCCGAUUUUUUAAAUUUAGAAAGUAAAGAAAUUGUACGGGCCCAAUUUUACCCGGGCCUUAAACACCAAACAAACAGCCCACAUAAACAAAAAUUAAUAAACAGUCCAUGACCCAAAACCCAAAUUACACCCGGGGCCCAUUACAAGCAAACCCAAAUAAAACCCAAACCCGAAUGGCCCAAUACCCUUCAGCCCAAACCAAUACCCAAGCCCGAAAACCAAAGUCAACUUAGGGUUUCAGUGUCUGAAACCCUAAGCGCCGCCUGCUUCAGACCUUUGGUCUUCUGCCGCCACCACCGCGCGUCUGUCACCGCCACUGUCGUCCGUCAAUCAUCUACAGGAAAUAUACACGCAAACAACAAAUAACACAGCAAAAAUAGCAUAAAAAUAUAAAGGAAAUCGGCUAUAAAAGGCCGGAUUUCCCCCCUGUAUUUCUUCUUCUUUUUUCACGAGAUCAAUACAAAAAAGCAGAUUAAAGAAAUAGAAAGGUUGAUCCCAAAGUUUUUCUUUCUUGUUCUGUUAUUGUGCAUUUCCUUUCACUGUUAUUAGUAUUUUUUUUACUUAUUUUCUUUAUUCUUUUAAACUAAAAGAAAGUGAAAAGAAAAAGGGGGAGAGGGUACCUACCUGUCUCGAAAGCCCGUCGCCAAAGACCCUAUUCGGUGUUGGAAUCGGACGAAAAGGGGUGCGAAGGACCCCUCCUUUUUCAUCUUUUUUAGACCAACAGGGCCUGGUUUUCGUGUGUGCUGUGAAUCGGGGCUGAAAAGCUUUUUUUUUUGCGCAACGCCAGCCACCGCUCACGGUGGCGCUACGGCGGUGGCGCUACAGCCGAUUGCCAUGGCCGGUUAGAGGCCUGAGAGAGAGAGCUUGGCUCUCUGUUUU